AAAAAAAAAAAAUAAUGGGAGAAAUCAUGCACAUGUGUAUAAAUCAAAAUCCAGUUUAAGUGCAGUAAAUAAACAGUCAAAGCAGUAACUGAUAUAGCAAACUAAUGUAAAGUUCAGAAAAAUUAAAAGUAGCAAACUAAGUAGCAAAUUAAGAGACAGACUGUUAGACAAAAUGUAAUCAUCAAAUAUGCAGAAUGGUUGUUUAGCCUUUUAGCCUAGAGCUUCUUCUGAUUGGU
rnacentral:misc_RNA from 1 species